AUUGAACGCUGGCGGCAGGCCUAACACAUGCAAGUCGAGCGGAUGAACGGAGCUUGCUCCUGGAUACAGCGGCCGAGGGGUGGGUAAUGCCGAGAAACCUCCCUGGUUGUUGGUUAUAACGUCCGAACACGGGCGCUAUUACCCCAUACGUCCUGAGGGAGAAAGUGGGGGAUCUUCGGACCUCACGCUAUCGCAUGAUCCUAGGUCGGAUUAGCUAAUUGGUGGGGUAAAGGCCUACCAAGGCGACGAUCCGUAACUGGUCUGAGAGGAUGAUCAGUCACACUGGAACUGAGACACGGUCCAGACUCCUACGGGAGGCAGCAGUGGGGAAUAUUGGACAAUGGGCGAAAGCCUGAUCCAGCCAUGCCGCGUGUGUGAAGAAGGCCUUCGGAUUGUAAAGCACUUUUAGUUGGGAGGAAGGGCAGUAAGUUAAUACCUCGCUGUUUUGACGUUACCAAAAGAAUAAGCACCGGCUAACUUCGUG
rnacentral:rRNA from 1 species